rnacentral:piRNA from 1 species
UCCCAGUUGUAGCCGCUUUCUGAGGGUUU